ACACGACUACAUUAGAUACCCCUGUAGUCCUAGCCGUAAACGAUACUCGCUAGGUGUCGGCCACGGUGCGACCGUUGUCGGUGCCGUAGGGAAGCCGUGAAGCGAGCCACCUGGGAAGUACGGCCGCAAGGCUGAAACUUAAAGGAAUUGGCGGGGGAGCACAACAACGGGUGGAGCUUGCGGUUUAAUUGGAUUCAACGCCGGAAAUCUUACCGGGACCGACAGCAACAUGAAGGCCAAGCCGAAGACUUUGCCGGAUUAGCUG
rnacentral:rRNA from 1 species